AUGCAAGUCGAACGAAGCCUUCGGGCUUAGUGGCGAACGGGUGCGUAACGCGUGGGAACCUGCCCUUAGGUCCGGAAUAACAGUUAGAAAUGACUGCUAAUGCCGGAUAAUGUCUUCGGACCAAAGAUUUAUCGCCUUUGGAUGGGCCCGCGUAGGAUUAGGUAGUUGGUGUGGUAACGGCGCACCAAGCCGACGAUCCUUAGCUGGUCUGAGAGGAUGAUCAGCCACACUGGGACUGAGACACGGCCCAGACUCCUACGGGAGGCAGCAGUAGGGAAUAUUGGACAAUGGGCGAAAGCCUGAUCCAGCAAUGCCGCGUGAGUGAUGAAGGCCUUAGGGUUGUAAAGCUCUUUUACUGGGGAUGAUAAUGACAGUACCCAGAGAAUAAGCUCCGGCUAACUCCGUGCCAGCAGCCGCGGUAAUACGGAGGGAGCUAGCGUUGUUCGGAAUUACUGGGCGUAAAGCGCGCGUAGGCGGCUAUCCAAGUCAGGGGUGAAAUCCCGGGGCUCAACCCCGGAACUGCCCUUGAAACUAGGUGGCUAGAAUACUGGAGAGGUGAGUGGAAUUCCGAGUGUAGAGGUGAAAUUCGUAGAUAUUCGGAA
rnacentral:rRNA from 1 species